GCGGAGGAAUAUGGGGGAGCGGGCGCGUGACACGGCCGACGAGCUGGGUUUGUUGUCCCACGUGUGGCGUGAACAGGUACAGGGAGAGUAAGUUGUAGAGGGAGGGUAGCAGUGACUGAUAGCUACCUACUCAAAAGUGCCUGGGAAGGCAUCGGGGUCAUCUGCAGGGCCCAUCUUACAGAGUUCCAAGCCCAGUGCCCAAAUGCCAUCCCCCACCGUGGCACUCACCAUCUUCUGGAGGAGCUGCUACUGGAUGCUGGCCUGCUCUCGUAUAAAGUCCUGCUGACUCUUCUGCUGCUCUGCUUGCCAGCUAAGCCAGGCCUGCCUUUCCAGUUGGUGGGACUUCUGAAAGGUUGUGCUCCCACCACCUUUUCACCAUACACAGCUUGCUUCUAGUGUCUGCUCCUAGGAGGGAAGAACCAUCACUCUGCUCCCUUCCCUGCAGCCUUUAUAUAGCCCCAGAUUAACUGGGCAGGCAGCUUUUCUCUAGCCAGCUCCAAUUUACUUCCCAUAAUGGAGGCUGGCUUGACAGAGGGCCAAGUCAGCAGUUCUUGCCCAGCAACCUGUCACACACGCAUAAAUAAAAUGGGGUUCAGAUAUGAAAGACUCAAGUUCAAGUCCCUGUUCUAAAUCAGUUAGAGAAGAAUUUGAAAACAGGUCUCCUACAUCCUACACAAGCUCCAGAACUGCUGGAGGUAGAGGGGUGUGUGUG